rnacentral:rRNA from 1 species
GGCUGCGUGCUUACACAUGCAGUCNGAACGCUGAAGCCGACAGCUUGCUGUUGGUGGAUGAGUGGCGAACGGGUGAGUAACACGUGAGUAACCUGCCCCUGAUUUCGGGAUAAGCCUGGGAAACUGGGUCUAAUACCGGAUAUGACCUCCUGACGCAUGUUGGGUGGUGGAAAGUUUUUCGAUCGGGGAUGGGCUCGCGGCCUAUCAGCUUGUUGGUGGGGUAAUGGCCUACCAAGGCGACGACGGGUAGCCGGCCUGAGAGGGCGACCGGCCACACUGGGACUGAGACACGGCCCAGACUCCUACGGGAGGCAGCAGUGGGGAAUAUUGCACAAUGGGGGAAACCCUGAUGCAGCGACGCAGCGUGCGGGAUGACGGCCUUCGGGUUGUAAACCGCUUUCAGCAGGGAAGAAGCGAAAGUGACGGUACCUGCAGAAGAAGUACCGGCUAACUACGUGCCAGCAGCCGCGGUAAUACGUAGGGUACGAGCGUUGUCCGGAAUUAUUGGGCGUAAAGAGCUCGUAGGUGGUUGGUCACGUCUGCUGUGGAAACGCAACGCUUAACGUUGCGCGUUGCAGGUGGGUACGGGCUGACCUAGAAGUUGCAGUAGGGGGAGUUCUGGGGAAUUCCCUGGUGUAGCGG